GCCCCUGUAGCUCAGUGGUCAGAGCGGGUACCUUCUAAGUACAAGGCCGCAGGUUCGAAUCCUGCCAGGGGUA
rnacentral:tRNA from 1 species